rnacentral:tRNA from 3 species
GGCCUUAGCUCAGCUGGGAGAGCACCUGCUUUGCAAGCAGGGGGUCAUCGGUUCGAUCCCGAUAGGCUCC